rnacentral:rRNA from 1 species
UACGAAGGGGGCUAGCGUUACUCGGAUUGACUGGGCGUAAAGGGCGCGUAGGCGGUUUGUACAGUCAGACGUGAAAUUCCUGGGCUCAACCUGGGGGCUGCGUUUGAUACGUGCGGACUUGAGUUCGGAAGAGGGUCGUGGAAUUCCCAGUGUAGAGGUGAAAUUCGUAGAUAUUGGGAAGAACACCGGUGGCGAAGGCGGCGCUCUGGACCGAGACUGACGCUGAGGCGCGAAAGCGUGGGGAGCAAACAGGG